AGGACGAACGCUGGCGGCGUGCUUAACACAUGCAAGUCGAGCGGAAAGGCCCUUCGGGGUACUCGAGCGGCGAACGGGUGAGUAACACGUGAGUAAUCUGCCCCUAGCUCUGGGAUAGCUCCGGGAAACCGGGAUUAAUACCGGAUACGACCACUUUAGACAUCUGUUGUGGUGGAAAGAAUUUUGGCUAGGGAUGAGCUCGCGGCCUAUCAGCUUGUUGGUGGGGUAACGCCUACCAAGGCGACGACGGGUAGCCGGCCUGAGAGGGCGACCGGCCACACUGGGACUGAGACACGGCCCAGACUCCUACGGGAGGCAGCAGUGGGGAAUAUUGCGCAAUGGGCGAAAGCCUGACGCAGCGACGCCGCGUGGGGGAUGAAGGCCUUCGGGUUGUAAACCCCUUUCAGCAGGGACGAAGCGAAAGUGACGGUACCUGCAGAAGAAGCGCCGGCUAACUACGUGCCAGCAGCCGC
rnacentral:rRNA from 1 species